AUGAUCUGCUUCAAUUGUAGUUGGCCUGGUCACUACGUGGGGAAUUGUGUGGAGCCAAAAAAAUGCUUUAUCUGUGCUGGAAAUCAUAAUGUCAACAAUUGCGCAGCUUGGGCAAAACCUCAACCUACUGCUACUUACUUUGGUAGUGGAGCUUCGGGACUGGGUUUCUAUCAUAUUGAGGUCCCUAUAGCGGCCGAAUCUAGC
rnacentral:rRNA from 1 species